rnacentral:rRNA from 1 species
GAGACCUCAGGUCAGGCGCGGCUACCCGCUGAAUU